rnacentral:rRNA from 1 species
CAAUAGCGUAUAUUAAAGUUGUUGCAGUUAAAAGCUCGUAGUUGGACUUCAGAGUGAGCUCAGACGGUCGGCCUAAGGGUCAGAACUGGUUGACUCUCUCUUGUUUGUGGAAGCCGCCCGGAGUUAACUCUUCGGAUGUGCUCUCCACAUCGUUUACCUUGAAAAAUUAGAGUGUUCAAAGCAGGCGUUUGCUUGAAUAUAUUAGCAUGGAAUAAUGGAAUAGGACCCUGGUUCUAUUUUGUUGGUUUUGAGGACCAGAGUAAUGAUUAAUAGGGAUAGUUGGGGGCAUUCAUAUUUCAUUGUCAGAGGUGAAAUUCUUGGAUUUAUGAAAGAUGAACUUCUGCGAAAGCAUUUGCCAAGGAUGUUUUCAUUAAUCAAGAACGAAAGUUAGGGGAUCGAAGACGAUUAGAUACCGU